UGAAUAGUCUUUGGAAUCGAAUUUCACUUUAUUUACGAGGCUGCCAUUGAGUCUCUCUGCCGCUCAUUUUCAUGCCGGUGUUGAUGAUCGUGGAAAGGCAGGGGUGCGAUGGUCAUUGUAGUCUGUAGGGUUUCGAACGGGUUGGGUGGGUUAAGAGACUUUCAUUUCCUUUCUUUGUGAGCUGCAGUGGUGCCGUCGGGAGAGAGAGCGAGCGAGCAGAGAGAGAAUAGAGACAGGGAGGGAGAGAGAGAGAUUUGGUGAGAGGAAGGCAUGCGGCUUGCAGGCAGACAGAGUCACAGGGGGUGUACGAUUGGAGGGAGAGAAAGGGGUUGGUUUCGAAAGCUCUACCUAGGGUUGUUCCUGCAAGAUUUCAACAGCGUUUUCCCUCUUCUCCACUAUUUUCCUUCAUUCCCUUUUCUCUGAACCAGAAACCUAGAUUCCUCUUCUCGAGUCCCUCCCAGUGUGGAACCCCCGCCACCACCAGGUGCCACAGCUGCGUCAAAGGUUUGCGUGUUGAAUUUCACAUCAACGGCAUCUCCCUAUAACCUAGGAGCUUGGUUCCGAUCGGGCGAUUCCGGAGGACCUGCCAUCGAGAUCUAUAGAGGAUGAUGAAAGCUUUUCGUCAUUGAUCUUUGGAGAAACAGAGGCAUGCAUAUAAAAGAUAGCUCCACGAUUGGCUAACAUGAAUCUUGGUAUCUUCAUAUGCAUGCAAUGUUCAGGGAUCCACAGUAGUCUUGGGGUACAUAUAUCAAAGGUGAGAUCUGCCACUUUGGAUACAUGGCUCCCAGAGCAGGUUGCAUAUAUCCAAUGGUGAAAACGAGUGAGGAAUGACAUGGGAAGAGGGGAGAAAGAGGACAAAAGAAUGGUUUCUGCUACUUUCAAUGCUUUGGGUUAAAAAAAUAAAAAGAGUAUGCGGUGUGGAAGCACACCAGCGAGGCCUUACUUACGAUGUCGAACUCAAAUGUGGCUGUAAUCUAACCCCUCAAAUUCCAACAUAGCAUGUAGGAAUGCUAACGUUUCCUGUGUGAUCUUCAUACAAAGGUGCAAGACAUAUGAGCUUUUAAUCAAGAAGGACAUGAUACGACUACUGUAUUAUUUUACUUAUUGUAUAGUGCUUCAGAGAGAAGAGUAGAGACAAUUAGUUCUCAUUAGAGUUCUCAUUUGUAGAUCGAUUGGUAGGCCUUUGUAUCCAACUAUUUUUAGCGGCUUCUACCAUGAAACUCAGAUACUCUCUUGGUUUCUUCCUUAUGCACACGAGGUAAUUCCACGAGGUUAUUCUGAGCAGAGAGUACUCAAGGAGGGCAUGUUUGAGGACCUGAGCUUGGCCAACAAGCAGCUCCGGUUUGUUUUGAGAUUUUUAAUGGUGUGCUUUCUCUUGAAUCGGCGAGAGAUGGUCUGGCAGCUGCUCAAUCAGCUCAGAGUCUUGGUUGAUGAGUGCAAGAGGACCUUCCAGCCAUGGGUAAUGAAAAGGGAAACAGUUAUUGGAAAAAAGAAUUGCCACCAAAUUUUGACAGAAGUGGGACAGAGGAAUUUAUUCGUGCCAAAUAUGAGGGAAAACUGUGGGUUGCGAAGAAUGCAAAGCAACCAGUUCCUCUCUUAAUUCUGAUUUGUGAAGGAGCCCGUGCUUUUCCUCAAAUCGACGUUGUCUUACUUGAUAAACGGCGGCACGAUCGAAGUCCCUCACCCUCUGUUAUCGUUGGACCAUGAGGUGGCGGUGAUCAUCUCUCAGAAAGCUCGCAAUGUUCCGCAAUCCACCGCCAUGGAUUACGUUGCGGGUUAUGCACUUGCUUUGGAUAUGACUGCCAGAGAAAUUCAAGCUUCUGCUAAGAUAAAAUCUACAGAGAUUAGAAAGAGAAAAAGGGCAAAGGAAAGCUACGGUGACUCUCGGAAGAUGGUUCAAGUCUCUGUUGGAGGGGAGAAUCAGACCAUUGAGUGGGCUAUACAACUAACAGUUGCUCUGAACAUUGCCAAAGCAUUAGAUCACUGCAGCAGCGAAUGCCGCCCAUUGUACCAUGACUUAAAUGCAUACAUGGAUCACUUUGAUAAGAGUUGGCUUCAUUUCAGUCCAGUAACUCUCUAAAUAGGUCCAAUAACUCACUAAAUAGGCAAGUCGAGAAGAAUUCAGCGUUGCACGCCUUUUUUGUUCCGGGACGAGUUCACCGCGACCAAAAUUGAUGCCUUACUUCGAUUCCAAACUCUCCAAAGCCGCCUUCUUUAUAGAUCAUCAAAGCAGUGCUGAAAUUCUGAGAAGGUAUAUUUAGAAACAACUAGAAAAUAAGCCCGCGCGUUGCGGCGGGAACCACUGUUUCAACGUAACUACAUGAAUAAAACACAUUAAACUUGAAUAAAUUCAACACAAUCAUAAAUGAACAAAGGGGCACAUAAGUGAAUGAGGUUGAUAAGAUAAGCAACUUGACUUUUAUAUACAUUCAACUAAGCUAACAUGUAAAGACAUUGCACAAUUAGUAGGAAGAAACUGAGUUAAGACUUGCUAAUCCAUCACCUUGUCUUACAGAAACCCACUUAAUACUCUCAUAACCAGUUUGCUUGUACACCGCAAAGUCCAUCAGUUGUUCGCAUAAAGAGGUAUGCAGAGGAGAAAUACAAUAACUAUUGAUGCCACUUUAGUGGGAAAAAGAAAAGCAUGAUGCAAAAACAUAUAUGCUUCCAAUGAUUCAUCCUCAAAGACAAAAAUAUGAACAAAGAGAAAGAAAAGGUAAUAAUAAUGAGAUACGUAACAGUAACACCAAUAAUAGCAGUAAUACUUUGUAGUAUAGAACUAUGCUUUUUUCUUAAUUAUUAAUGUUGGAUUGCUUUCUUUUCUCAUGGAAAAGUCAGGAUUAUGGAACUUUCAUUUUGUUGAAGUUCAUUCUCUGGACAAACUCUUGAUAGAGCAUUUCAUUUUCUUUCUUUGAGAUUUCACAAUGAACUUCAUCCAAAUCUCCGGUGGUACCGUCCCAACCCUCUGCCAUAACCUUGAAAUCAGGUUUGUAGGUAAGGGAUACCACGUGGAAUUCGCGGUCAUGAGAAUUAAAAAAUCUGAAAAAGGAAAGGAGUUAUGCACUAUGAGAAAUAAAAUCUGGCUAUUAGAUCAGCCAAGCACCACUAAGCUUAUAAAUUUGCGACUACAAUUAACGCAGCAGGAAACCUUUACCAUCAGUAUGAAGUAUGCACAGAAUAUUGAUAUCAUUACAAAAUUAUUAGAACUACAGGACCCAUUGUAUAUAAUAGAAGUAAUGCUUGUGAAUUGAUAUCUUACUCUGAGCAGGUGUCAAGCAGGAGCUCAACAGAAUCAUCUAAAGGAUGACCAAGCUUUUUCCCCUCUUCCUCCUCAAGCUCUUUAAGCCAAAGAAUAGCAUGCACUCUCUGCCUCAUAAUCCUAUAAUCCUUAGCCAGCCUCUCAACAGUAUAAACCUCAGGGAUUUCCUUGUGCUUCUUAUACUUCUCAGCCUUCUCUGAGUCUUUGAGAUAAGACCCUCUCGCACCAGGCUCACUUCCAGUUCUCUUAUCCUAUCCUCAAUUUCUUGCAAACCAGAUACCACUGAUGAUUGAGAUAAAGAAACAUAGAUUAUGAGAUUAAAACAAAACUGACCAAAAAGGAUACAGAGCCGACGACUUAAAAUGUAACUAUUUACUGUGUUAUGAAAUACGAAUUUAAAAUGUAACUAUUUACUCUGUUAUCAAGCAACCAAGUUAUGAAAUACGAAUUUAAAAUGUACUAUUUACUAUGUCUGUAAUGAAUCUGUGAAAUCAAAUAGUUAAACCCUAAAAAGCACCACUGCAAAUAGCAUAAGAAAAUUGAAUUAACCCUAAAGAAAUUGGGAGAGAAGAAUAUGAAAAGGAAAUACCUUUCGGCCCUUGUUAUUGGAAAAAAACCCAACAGAGCAAAAGCCUCCAACUCCAAACACUGUUGUGGGAUUUUGAAGAGAGCAAGAGAGAGAAUAUAUCGGAAGAAAUAAAGCAAGAGAGGGGG